rnacentral:rRNA from 1 species
AUGCAUGUCUCCCCUCAAAAGUGUACUCCCGUCCUUUCCAAAUUAUAUCCAUGCUCCAUUGUAAAAAUAGAAAUAUCUAUAGGUGGUAAGUACUAUGACGUUUGUUAUAACUGGUUGCAAUCGUUGUGGAUGGAGUUACUACACUGGUUGCAAUCUCCCUCACCUGGUGUCGGCGCCAUCGACUGCAUAUGGCUUGAGGCAGUCGUUGCGCCAGUUGACUUUACUGAGGCAUCGGAUGGAGUUACCGUUGAUGUCAGUCUUGAGGACCCCUCACCUCGUGUCGGCGCCAUCGACCUCAUAUGGCUUGAGGCAGUCGUUGCGUUAGUGAGGCUCUUGAAUCCAUGGACGGAACCACCAUUGAUGUAA